UACAGAGGUGGCAAGCGUUGUUCGGAAUUACUGGGCGUAAAGGGCGCGUAGGCGGUCUUGUAAGUCUCGUGUGAAAUCCCUCGGCUUAACUGAGGAACUGCACGGGAUACUGCAUGACUUGAGAUCGGGAGAGGGAAGCGGAAUUCCGGGUGUAGCGGUGAAAUGCGUAGAUAUCGGGAGGAACACCUGUGGCGAAAGCGGCUCACUGGACCACAACUGACGCUGAUGCGCGAAAGCUAGGGGAGCAAACAGG
rnacentral:rRNA from 1 species